rnacentral:rRNA from 1 species
GACGAACGCUGGCGGCGUGCUUAACACAUGCAAGUCGAACGAAGAGCGACGGAAGCUUGCUUCUAUCAAUCUUAGUGGCGAACGGGUGAGUAACGCGUAAUCAACCUGCCCUUCAGAGGGGGACAACAGUUGGAAACGACUGCUAAUACCGCAUACGAUCUAAUCUCGGCAUCGAGGAUAGAUGAAAGGUGGCCUCUACAUGUAAGCUAUCACUGAAGGAGGGGAUUGCGUCUGAUUAGCUAGUUGGAGGGGUAACGGCCCACCAAGGCGAUGAUCAGUAGCCGGUCUGAGAGGAUGAACGGCCACAUUGGGACUGAGACACGGCCCAGACUCCUACGGGAGGCAGCAGUGGGGAAUCUUCCGCAAUGGACGAAAGUCUGACGGAGCAACGCCGCGUGAGUGAUGACGGCCUUCGGGUUGUAAAGCUCUGUUAAUCGGGACGAAAGGCCUUCUUGCGAAUAUUGAGAAGG